rnacentral:rRNA from 1 species
UAACACAUGCAAGUCGAACGGAGACAAAACUAGCUUGCUAGUAGGCGUCGAGUGGCGGACGGGUGAGUAACGCGUAGGAAUCUGCCUGAUAGUGGGGGAUAGCCCGAAGAAAUUCGGAUUAAUACCGCAUAAUCUAUUCGUAGUAAAGUGAGGGACUUUCGAGGCCUCACGCUAUCAGAUGAGCCUGCGUAAGAUUAGCUUGUUGGUAGGGUAAAAGCCUACCAAGGCAACGAUCUUUAGCUGGUCUGAGAGGAUGAUCAGCCACAUCGGGACUGAGACACGGCCCGAACUCCUACGGGAGGCAGCAGUGGGGAAUAUUGGACAAUGGGGGGCAACCCUGAUCCAGCAAUACCGCGUGUGUGAAGAAGGCCUGAGGGUUGUAAAGCACUUUCAAUUGUGAAGAAAAGUCAACGGUUAAUAACCGUUGACCUUGACGUUAACUUUAGAAGAAGCACCGGCUAACUCCGUGCCAGCAGCCGCGGUAAUACGGAGGGUGCAAGCGUUAAUCGGAAUUACUGGGCGUAAAGCGUGCGUAGGCGGUUUAUUAAGUCAGAUGUGAAAGCCCCGGGCUUAACCUGGGAACUGCAUUUGAAACUGGUCAACUAGAGUAUGGUAGAGGAAAGUGGAAUUUCUGGUGUAGCGGUGAAAUGCGUAGAUAUCAGAAGGAACAUCAAUGGCGAAGGCAGCUUUCUGGACCAAUACUGACGCUGAGGUACGAAAGCGUGGGUAGCAAACAGGAUUAGAUACCCUGGUAGUCCACGCCGUAAACGAUGAUAACUAGCCGUUGGGGGGAUUUACCCCUUAGUGGCGAAGCUAACGCGUUAAGUUAUCCGCCUGGGGAGUACGGCCGCAAGGCUAAAACUCAAAGGAAUUGACGGGGACCCGCACAAGCGGUCGAGCAUGUGGUUUAAUUCGAUGCAACGCGAAGAACCUUACCUGGUCUUGACAUCCUGCGAACUUUCUAGAAAUAGAUUGGUGCCUUCGGGAACGCAGUGACAGGUGCUGCAUGGCUGUCGUCAGCUCGUGUCGUGAGAUGUUGGGUUAAGUCCCGUAACGAGCGCGACCCCUAUCCUUAUUUGCCAGCACAUUAUGGUGGGAACUAUAAGGAGACUGCCGGUGAUAAACCGGAGGAAGGCGGGGACGACGUCAAGUCAUCAUGGCCCUUACGACCAGGGCUACACACGUGCUACAAUGGGAAGGACAAAGAGCCGCGAAGCCGCGAGGUGUAGCUAAUCUCAUAAAUCUUUUCGUAGUCCGGAUUGGAGUCUGCAACUCGACUCCAUGAAGUCGGAAUCGCUAGUAAUCGUAGAUCAGAAUGCUACGGUGAAUACGUUCCCGGGUCUUGUACACACCGCCCGUCAUACCAUGGGAGUGGGUUGCACCAGAAGUGGCUAGUCUAACUUUGUGAGGACGGUCACCACGGUGUGAUUCAUGACUGGGGUG